GACGAACGCUGGCGGCGCGCCUAACACAUGCAAGUCGAACGAGCGAGAGAGAGCUUGCUUUCUUGAGCGAGUGGCGAACGGGUGAGUAACGCGUGAGGAACCUGCCCCAAAGAGGGGGACAACAGUUGGAAACGACUGCUAAUACCGCAUAAGCCCACGGUGCCGCAUGGCACAGAGGGAAAAGGAGCAAUCCGCUUUGAGAUGGCCUCGCGUCCGAUUAGCUAGUUGGUGUGGUAACGGCCCACCAAGGCGACGAUCGGUAGCCGGACUGAGAGGUUGAACGGCCACAUUGGGACGGAGACACAGCCCAGACUCCUACGGGAGGCAGCAGUGGGGAAUAUUGCACAAUGGGGGAAGACCUGAUGCAGCGACGCCGGGUGGAGGAAGAAGGUCUUCGGAUUGUAAACUCCUGUUGUUGGGGAAGAUAAUGACGGUACCCAACAAGGAAGUGACGGCUAACUACGUG
rnacentral:rRNA from 1 species